UACGAAGGGGGCUAGCGUUGCUCGGAAUCACUGGGCGUAAAGGGUGCGUAGGCGGGUCUUUAAGUCAGGGGUGAAAUCCUGGAGCUCAACUCCAGAACUGCCUUUGAUACUGAGGAUCUUGAGUCCGGGAGAGGUGAGUGGAACUGCGAGUGUAGAGGUGAAAUUCGUAGAUAUUCGCAAGAACACCAGUGGCGAAGGCGGCUAUCUGGACGGUUUCUGACGCUAAGACGCGAAAGCGUGGGGAGCAAACAGG
rnacentral:rRNA from 1 species